UACGGGGGGGGCAAGCGUUGUUCGGAAUUACUGGGCGUAAAGGGCUCGUAGGCGCCAACUAAGUCAGGCGUGAAAUCCCUCGGCUUAACCGGGGAACUGCGUCUGAUACUGGUUGGCUUGAAUCCGGGAGAGGGAUGUGGAAUUCCAGGUGUAGCGGUGAAAUGCGUAGAUAUCUGGAGGAACACCGGUGGCGAAGGCGGCAUCCUGGACCGGUAUUGACGCUGAGGAGCGAAAGCCAGGGGAGCAAACGGG
rnacentral:rRNA from 1 species